GCACCACACCACACCAUCACAACACACCCCACCACACAACACGCAACCACACCACACACACCCCAUCACCACACACACCACAACCACACCACACACCCCAUCACACACACAACCACACCACACAUUUCCUCACGCCACCACACACACCACACCACACACAACCACAUAACACGCAACGGGGAAAACACACCAUACACAUCCUAUUACAACACAACCACACCACCCACAUCCCAUCACACACGGCAUACCCCAUCACACCAACACACACAGCCACAUCACACACCCCAUCACACACACCACACAGAACCACACCACACACCCCAUCACACACACACCACACACACAUCACACACAUCCCAUCACACACACACCACCACACCACACACCCCAUCACACCACACAACCACACCACACACCCCAUCACACAACCACACACACCACGCACACACCACACAACCACACCACAUACCAUGACCCACACAUAUACACCACACACACCACACCACAGGCUCCACACAGCAUCAUACACACCACACACAAUUACCCCACACACAUCAAACCACACCACACACAC
rnacentral:lncRNA from 1 species